AGGACGAACGCUGGCGGCGUGCUUAACACAUGCAAGUCGAGCGGAAAGGCCCUUCGGGGUACUCGAGCGGCGAACGGGUGAGUAACACGUGAGCAACCUGCCCUUAGCUCCGGGAUAGCUCCGGGAAACCGGAAUUAAUACCGGAUACGACCACGGCCGACAUCUGCUGUGGUGGAAAGGAUUCCGGCUAAGGAUGGGCUCGCGGCCUAUCAGCUAGUUGGUGGAGUAACGGCCACCAAGGCGACGACGGGUA
rnacentral:rRNA from 1 species